AGCUCCAAUAGCGUAUAUUAAAGUUGUUGCAGUUAAAAAGCUCGUAGUUGAAUUUGUGGUGUACGGCGGGUCCCGGGCACUAGUUGUCUGAGUGACUUGCCGAUGCCAUCCUUGGGUGGAACCUGUGUGGCAUUAGGUUGUCGUGCAGGGGAUGCCCAUCGUUUACUGUGAAAAAAUUAGAGUGUUCAAAGCAGGCUUAUGCCGUUGAAUAUAUUAGCAUGGAAUAAUGAGAUAGGACUUUUUCGCUAUUUUGUUGGUUUGCGCGAGAAGGUAAUGAUUAAUAGGGACAGUUGGGGGUAUUCGUAUUCCAUUGUCAGAGGUGAAAUUCUUGGAUUUCUGGAAGACGAACUACUGCGAAAGCAUUUACCAAGGAUGUUUUCA
rnacentral:rRNA from 1 species